UACAGAGGGUGCGAGCGUUAAUCGGAAUUACUGGGCGUAAAGCGUGCGUAGACGGUUAUUUAAGUCGGGUGUGAAAGCCCCGGGCUCAACCUGGGAAUUGCAUUCGAGACUGAAUAGCUAGGGUACGGUAGAGGGAAGUGGAAUUUCCGGUGUAGCGGUGAAAUGCGUAGAUAUCGGAAGGAACAUCAGUGGCGAAGGCGGUGAUCUGGGCCGACACUGACGCUGUAGAGCGAAAGCGUGGGGAGCGAACAGG
rnacentral:rRNA from 1 species